UACGGGGGGGGUAAGCGUUGUUCGGAAUUACUGGGCGUAAAGGGCUCGUAGGCGGCCAACUAAGUCGGACGUGAAAUCCCUCAGCUUAACUGGGGAACUGCGUCCGAUACUGGAUGGCUUGGAUUUGGGAGAAGGAUGCGGAAUUCCAGGUGUAGCGGUGAAAUGCGUAGAUAUCUGGAGGAACACCGGUGGCGAAGGCGGCAUCCUGGACCAAUAUUGACGCUGAGGCGCGAAAGCUAGGGGAGCAAACGGG
rnacentral:rRNA from 1 species